GACGAACGCUGGCGGCGUGCUUAACACAUGCAAGUCGAACGGAAAGGCCCCUUUGGGGGUACUCGAGUGGCGAACGGGUGAGUAACACGUGAGUAACCUGCCCUUGACUUCGGGAUAACUUCAGGAAACUGGGGCUAAUACCGGAUAGGAAUCCUUGCUGCAUGGUGGGGGUUUGAAAGCUUCGGCGGUUUUGGAUGGACUCGCGGCUUAUCAGCUUGUUGGUGGGGUAGUGGCUUACCAAGGCUUUGACGGGUAGCCGGCCUGAGAGGGCGACCGGCCACAUUGGGACUGAGAUACGGCCCAGACUCCUACGGGAGGCAGCAGUGGGGAAUAUUGCACAAUGGGCGGAAGCCUGAUGCAGCAACGCCGCGUGCGGGAUGACGGCCUUCGGGUUGUAAACCGCUUUCAGCAGGGGCGAAGCUUGUGGUGACGGUACCUGCAGAAGAAGCACCGGCUAACUACGUG
rnacentral:rRNA from 1 species